GACGAACGCUGGCGGCGUGCUUAACACAUGCAAGUCGAACGGUAAGGCCCUUCGGGGUACACGAGUGGCGAACGGGUAAGUAACACGUGGGUGAUCUGCCCUGCACUUCGGGAUAAGCCUGGGAAACUGGGUCUAAUACCGGAUAGGACUCCGGACUGCAUGGUCUGGGGUGGAAAGCUUUUGCGGUGUGGGAAUGGGCCCGCGGCCUAUCAGCUUGUUGGUGGGGUGAUGGCCUACCAAGGCGACGACGGGUAGCCGGCCUGGGAGGGUGACCGGCCACACUGGGACUGAGAUACGGCCCAGACUCCUACGGGAGGCAGCAGUGGGGAAUAUUGCACAAUGGGCGCAAGCCUGAUGCAGCGACGCCGCGUGAGGGAUGACGGCCUUCGGGUUGUAAACCUCUUUCAGCACCGACGAAGCGCAAGUGACGGUAGGUGCAGAAGAAGGACCGGCCAACUACGUGCCAGCCGCCGCCGUAA
rnacentral:rRNA from 1 species